GUUCUUGAAAAGUGAAUCCGCCACGAAUUUGGACUCCUCAAAGUACCCUUGGUACAGUCCUGUUUCCGUUAAGGAGCUAUGGAGCUUGUUGAACUUCAAUGUGACGGUAAAUCAUGGAAGCUUUAAACUCAUCGUUGGUAAUACCGGCACAGGUUAUUAUAAGGAAACUCAGCGAUAUGAUCAUUAUGUUGAUCUCAGGCACAUUCCUGAACUCUCAAUCAUCAAAAGAGAUCAGACAGGCAUUGAAGUUGGAGCAACUGUGACUAUCUCUAAAUUCAUCUCAGUCUUGAAAGAGGAAAGUCAUAUCAAUUUGGGUUCAUAUGGGAAGUUGGUAUCCCAAAAAUUGGCUGACCACAUGGAGAAGAUUGCUUCACCAUUUGUUAGAAACUCUGCUAGUGUGGGAGGAAAUUUGGUCAUGGCACAGAAGAAUGGUUUUCCUUCUGAUAUCGCUACACUACUUCUCGGGCUUUCUGCUACUGUUAGCUUGAUGACCAGUCAUGGACCUGAAAACCUCACAUGGGAGGAGUUAUUAUCAAGACCACCACUAGACUCAAAGACUGUUCUU
rnacentral:misc_RNA from 1 species